UUCCAGACUCCUACGGGAGGCAGCAGUAGGGAAUCUUUCACAAUGGGCGAAAGCCUGAUGGAGCAACGCCGCGUGCAGGAUGAAGGCCUUCGGGUUGUAAACUGCUUUUAUAAGCGAGAAAUAUGAUGGUAACUUAUGAAUAAGGAUCGGCUAACUACGUGCCAGCAGCCGCGGUCAUACGUAGGAUCCGAGCAUUAUCCGGAGUGACUGGGUGUAAAGGGAGCGUAGACGGCGACGCAAGUCUGGAGUGAAAGCCCGGGGCCCAACCCCGGGACUGCUCUGGAAACUGCGGCGCUGGAGUACGGGAGGGGCAGGCGGAAUUCCUGGUGUAGCGGUGAAAUGCGUAGAUAUCAGGAGGAACACCGGCGGCGAAGGCGGCCUGCUGGACCGUGACUGACGUUGAGGCUCGAGAGCGUGGGGAGCAAACAGGAUUAGAUACCCCCGUA
rnacentral:rRNA from 1 species